AGCAGCCGCGGUAAUUCCAGCUCCAAUAGCGUAUAUUAAAGUUGUUGCAGUUAAAAAGCUCGUAGUUGAAUUUCGGGAUCAUCAGGUUGGUCGUGCCUCUGGUAUGUACUGAUUUCGAUGGUCCCUCCUUCUUGAAGAGCCGUAAUGCCAUUAAUUUGGUGUUGCGGGGAAUCAGGACUGUUACUUUGAAAAAUUAGAGUGUUUAAAGCAGGCAAUCGCUUGAAUACAUUAGCAUGGAAUAAUGAAAUAGGACGUUCGAUCCUAUUUUGUUGGUUUCUAGGAUUGACGUAAUGAUUAAUAGGGAUAGUUGGGGGCAUUAGUAUUCAAUUGUCAGAGGUGAAAUUCUUGGAUUUAUUGAAGACUAACUACUGCGAAAGCAUUUGCCAAGGAUGUUUUCAUUAAUCAAGAACGAAAGUUAGGGAUCGAAGACGAUCAGAUACCGUCGUAGUC
rnacentral:rRNA from 1 species